rnacentral:rRNA from 1 species
UACGAAGGGGGCGAGCGUUGUUCGGAAUUACUGGGCGUAAAGGGCGCGUAGGCGGCGAACCAAGUCAGAUGUGAAGGUCCUGGGCUUAACCUGGGGACUGCAUUUGAUACUGGUUUGCUUGAAUUCGGGAGAGGAUAGCGGAAUUCCCAGUGUAGAGGUGAAAUUCGUAGAUAUUGGGAAGAACACCGGUGGCGAAGGCGGCUAUCUGGACCGACAUUGACGCUGAGGCGCGAAAGCGUGGGGAGCAAACAGG